UACGUAGGGUGCAAGCGUUAAUCGGAAUUACUGGGCGUAAAGCGUGCGCAGGCGGUUAUGUAAGACAGAUGUGAAAUGCCCGGGCUUAACCUGGGAACUGCAUUUGUGACUGCAUGGCUAGAGUUUGGCAGAGGGGGGUAGAAUUCCACGUGUAGCAGUGAAAUGCGUAGAUAUGUGGAGGAACACCGAUGGCGAAGGCAGCCCCCUGGGUCAAGGCUGACGCUCAUGCACGAAAGCGUGGGGAGCGAACAGG
rnacentral:rRNA from 1 species